UACGUAGGUGGCAAGCGUUGUCCGGAUUUACUGGGCGUAAAGGAUGCGUAGGCGGACAUUUAAGUCAGAUGUGAAAUACCCGAGCUUAACUUGGGUGCUGCAUUUGAAACUGGGUGUCUAGAGUGCAGGAGAGGUAAGUGGAAUUCCUAGUGUAGCGGUGAAAUGCGUAGAUAUCUGGAGGAACACCCGUGGUGCAGACGGCUUGCUGGACCAUGACUGACGCUGAGGCACGAAAGCGUGGGUAGCAAACAGG
rnacentral:rRNA from 1 species